rnacentral:lncRNA from 1 species
UCUAACUCCAUUUCUUGAACUUCCUCUUCAUCUUUGAAUAAAUGAGGGUACUUAGAUUUCAUUGCUUCCUCAGCUUCCCAUGUAAUCUCUUCCCUUUGAUGAUUUCUCCAACGUACUUUCACCGAUGCUAUCUCUUUAUUUCUCAUCUUCUUAACUUGGCGAUCUAAAAUAGCAAUUGGCACUUCCUCAUAGGUAAGAUCUUCCGCAACUUGCACAUCCUCAGUAGAAGUGAUAUGUGAUGGAUCUCCGAUGCACUUUCGAAGCAUUGACAUAUGAAAUACCGGAUGUACUGAUGAGAGCUCUUGGGGUAGCUCUAAUUCAUAUGCAACUUGUCCAAACCUUCGAGUGAUCUUAUA